GAUGAACGCUGGCGGCGUGCCUAAUACAUGCAAGUCGAGCGAACGGACGAGAAGCUUGCUUCUCUGAUGUUAGCGGCGGACGGGUGAGUAACACGUGGAUAACCUACCUAUAAGACUGGGAUAACUUCGGGAAACCGGAGCUAAUACCGGAUAAUAUUUUGAACCGCAUGGUUCAAAAGUGAAAGACGGUCUUGCUGUCACUUAUAGAUGGAUCCGCGCUGCAUUAGCUAGUUGGUAAGGUAACGGCUUACCAAGGCAACGAUGCAUAGCCGACCUGAGAGGGUGAUCGGCCACACUGCAACUGAGACACGGUCCAGACUCCUACGGGAGGCAGCAGUAGGGAAUCUUCCGCAAUGGGCGAAAGCCUGACGGAGCAACGCCGCGUGAGUGAUGAAGGUCUUCGGAUCGUAAAACUCUGUUAUUAGGGAAGAACAUAUGUGUAAGUAACUGUGCACAUCUUGACGGUACCUAAUCAGAAAGCCACGGCUAACUACGUG
rnacentral:rRNA from 1 species